rnacentral:rRNA from 1 species
GACGAACGCUGGCGGCGUGCUUAACACAUGCAAGUCGAACGGUGAAAGCGGAGCUUGCUCCGCUGGAUCAGUGGCGAACGGGUGAGUAACACGUGGGCAACCUGCCCCUGACUUCGGGAUAACUCCUCGAAAGAGGUGCUAAUACCGGAUACGAAUCCUGCAGGCAUCUGCGGGAUUGGAAAGUUUUUCGGUCAGGGAUGGGCCCGCGGCCUAUCAGCUUGUUGGUGAGGUAGUGGCUCACCAAGGCGACGACGGGUAGCCGGCCUGAGAGGGCGGCCUGCCACACUGGGCCGGAGUCACGGCCCAGACUCCUACGGGGGGCAGCAGUGGGGAAUAUUGCGCCAUGGGCGAAAGCCUGACGCAGAAACGCCGCGUGAGGGAUGACGGCCUUCGGGUUGUAAACCUCUUUCAGCAGGGAAGAAGCGAAAGUGACGGUACCUGCAGAAGAAGCACCGGCUAACUACGUGCCAGCCGCCGCCGUAA